rnacentral:tRNA from 1 species
CCUCAGGUAGUCAAGUGGUCUAAGACAGAGGUCUGUAAAACCUUGAUGCGAUGGUUCGAAUCCAUCCCUGAGGA